rnacentral:rRNA from 1 species
UACGGGGGGGGCAAGCGUUGUUCGGAAUUACUGGGCGUAAAGGGCUCGUAGGCGGCCAACUAAGUCAGACGUGAAAUCCCUCGGCUUAACCGGGGAACUGCGUCUGAUACUGGAUGGCUUGAGAUUGGGGAGAGGGGAUGACGGCAAGUUCCAGGUGUAGGCGGUAGAAAUGCGUAGAUAUCUGGAGGAACACCGGUGGCGAAGGCGGCAUCCUGGACCAACACUGACGCUGAGGAGCGAAAGCCAGGGGAGCAAACGGGG